GCCGAGGUGGCGGAAUGGUAGACGCGCCGGCUUCAAGUCCCGUGUGCUCGCAAGAGCGUCCGAGUUCGACUCUCGGCCUCGGCA
rnacentral:tRNA from 1 species